GCCAGUUUGGUGUAAUGGUAACACAUCUCUUGGGGGUGACCCACAGAGGAGCUACAGGUUCGAUUCCUGGCACUGGCA